GUCCAGCGGGGUGGCCUGGGGGGGCACAGGCCACCCCCACAACCAGACUGGCCACCCCAGGUGCCACCCCGAAACUAAAACAAUAAAAUUCAAUUAAACAUCAAAUGUACGAUUACGUUUUCGUAGUGAAGCUCAGAUGUCCGAGUGUAAGUGAAUGCAGCAUCGGCAAAGGAAGGAGAAAGACGGCACCACAGAGAACAAUUUUCCGGCGAAAGAAAAUGAUGAGAAAAUAAAUGUCCCGGUAAGUAAUAUUAAGUUUGUUGAGUUUAGUAAACUUCGGUGAAAUUAGAAUACCAAGGAAAAAAUAACACUUAAAGAAUUAUUGCAACCGCAGAAUAUUUCAGUAGGCUACUGGGGGGAGCUAGCAUAAGAGUUAAGAGUUAUAAGAUAUAAUCCAAGUCGUAACAUUGCUGUAUGGAGCUGCAGAAUUUGUUGCAGGUUAAUACUGGCAGUGUCACCAUGUCACCUGUCUGUAUUUCAUCAUCAGCCAGUGUUGUUCUUUAUACAUCAAUAUUACCAAAGUUUACCAUAAGGCACCACUUACACACUGUGCGGUCUAGCUAAUUUCUCUCAUUACUUAUCCUAUCUGCCAGCUCCAUGUUAUGAAUAGUGUAAAUCACCCCAUGAAACGGCUGUGCCAUGUUCAAUGCAGGGAUGUGCAGUUCUGCUUCUCAAGGCUCCUGUCCUCCCGUUUCCAUACUUCAACACAGCUGAUUUAAAGAAUUAUUUACAGACUUGUGCACAACUAGGUGUUUGGGGAUUAUUUGAUUUGAAUUGGCUAUGUUGGUAUAGGUAACAUCUAAAACAUGCAUGAUAGGAGUCCAUGAGUGCCAGAUUUGACAUCCCUGACUUCCAGUCAAGGUCAUACAUCAGGAAAGUUGUUGUUUGUGACAUAAGUUUUUGCUUUAUUACUUCAGGGCCAACCAGUAUAGAUAAAAGAAUAGGAGUGAAGAAUGAAAAGAUCUCAAAAUAUUGAGAAUUUCUUCCUUAAGAAGGCUAAAAUAACGCCAGAAGCAGAGAGCAAUGUCAGGGAAAGGUGGACUGAGCAGCAGUCAUCAUUGUCACCUGUGAUUUCUACAAAUGAAGGCACUUCUUCACCUGUUCAUGAUCCACCAGAUAACCAGGAUGUGGUGCCUUUUGAAACAUCUUCUCCUUCAACAUCAUGUACGACACCAGGCCAUCCACAUGAUAUAUCUCAAAAUCCAGCGGAGGGACCUAGACAGCCACACUUGAAGAUAUUUCCUCGAACACUACAUGGUGAAAAGAGGAGGGCCUUCAGCAAGACAUGGUAUUCACAACACAAAUGGCUGGAAUAUUCUCAAAGUCUGGACUCUGUCUAUUGUUUUGCAUGUAGACACUUUUCCCUUCCAAAUGCUUCUGAAACUCCUUUUACAUCACAUGAAGGGUACUCAAACUGGAAGAAGGCGAUGUAUAAAGAUGGAGGUUUUAAGGGGCAUGAGAAAUCUGAAGGUCAUAUGAAUGCCAUGUAUGCUUGGAGUGAACAUAAGAACAACAUUUUGACAGAUUCAUCUGUGCGUGAUGCUUUGGACAAGGCAUAUAAAAAAAAAGUAGAGGAAAAUCGCAUAUAUAUCAAAACUGUUGCUGAAGUACUUCUCCUUACAGCUAUGCAAAACAUCUCCCAAAGGGGGCAUCUUGAGACAGAUACAUCACAAAACAAAGGGAACGUUUUAGAGAUAAUGGAACUUAUUUCUAAGCAUAAUCCACUGAUUGCAAAAAAAAUGAAAGCUGCAGGAAAUGCAAAAUAUACCAGUAACACCAUUCAGAAUGAAGUAAUGGAAUGUCUGUCAGAGAUGGUACGUGAAGACAUUAUCAGAGAAGUGAAGGAGAGUGAGUACUUCUCUGUGAUUGCAGAUGAAACAAAAGACCUAAAGAAAACAGAGCAACUGUCAUUAGUACUAAGGUAUUACUACAAUGGGGCUGUUCAAGAGAGUUUUUUAGAGUUCCAGAGAGCAAGUCAGCUAGAUGCGGCAGGG